CCUACGGGCGGCAGCAGUGGGGAAUAUUGGACAAUGGGGGGAACCCUGAUCCAGCGACGCCGCGUGAGUGAAGAAGUAUUUCGGUAUGUAAAGCUCUAUCAGCAGGGAAGAAAGAAAUGACGGUACCUGACUAAGAAGCCCCGGCUAACUAGGUGCCAGCAGCCGCGGUAAUACGUAGGGGGCAAGCGUUAUCCGGAUUUACUGGGUGUAAGGGGAGCGUAGACGGCGAUGCAAGUCUGAAGUGAAAGGCGGGGGCCCAACCCCUGGAGUGCUUUGGAAACUGUAUGGCUGGAGUGCAGGAGAGGUAAGUGGAAUGCCUAGUGUAGCGGUGAAAUGCGUAGAUAUUAGGAGGAACACCAGUGGCGAAGGCGGCUUACUGGACUGUAACUGACGUUGAGGCUCGAAAGCGUGGGGAGCAAACAGGAUUAGAUACCCGAGUAGUC
rnacentral:rRNA from 1 species